rnacentral:rRNA from 1 species
UACAGAGGGGGCAAGCGUUGUUCGGAAUUACUGGGCGUAAAGGGCGCGUAGGCGGCCUUCUAAGUCGAACGUGAAAUCCCCGGGCUCAACCCGGGAACUGCGUCUGAUACUGGAUGGCUAGAGGUUGGGAGAGGGAUGCGGAAUUCCAGGUGUAGCGGUGAAAUGCGUAGAUAUCUGGAGGAACACCGGUGGCGAAGGCGGCAUCCUGGACCAAUUCUGACGCUGAGGAGCGAAAGCCAGGGGAGCAAACGGG